rnacentral:rRNA from 1 species
GUCUAUGAGUGUAACACCCUGCAUGCACCUGAGUUCAUCUGAUCUUGGAAGCUAAGCAUGGUCAGGCUCAGUUAGUACUUGGAUGGGAGACUACCUGGGAAUGGGAAUAUUGGGUGCUGUAGGAU